GAUCAGGCGUGCGAGGGAGCUCUAAUCUCCACCCUCUCCGCUCCCUCGCGGGCCGCCUACUGAUGCUGCGGGAUGACGUCAUAUUCCGGCUCCCGCGGCAUCAGCAGACAGUGCGCGAGGGAGCGGAGAGGGUGGAGAUUAGAGCUCCCUCGCGCGCCUGAUCA